ensembl:misc_RNA 7SK 7SK RNA
GAUUGUGAGGGCGAUCUGGCUGCGACAUCUGUCACCUCACUGAUCGCCAGGGUUGAUUCGGGCGAUCUGGCUGGCUAGGCGGGUAUCCCCUUCCUCCCUCACCGCUCCAUGUGCGUUCCCCCCGAAGCUGCGCGCUCUGUCCAAGAGGACAACGGUCCCCGAUAGAGGAGGACCGUUCUUCUCGGUCAAGGGUAUACUAGUAGCUGCUCUCCCCUGUUAGAACCUCCCAACAAGCUCUCAAAGAACUGGAGGAGGGGAGAGGAACACCACUGUACCAGAUACAGCCCCCUCCCUUUUUCCUGAAGCCUGCUUGUCCCU